rnacentral:rRNA from 1 species
GACGAACGCUGGCGGCGUGCCUAAUACAUGCAAGUAGAACGCUGAAGAGAGGAGCUUGCUCUUCUUGGAUGAGUUGCGAACGGGUGAGUAACGCGUAGGUAACCUGCCUUGUAGCGGGGGAUAACUAUUGGAAACGAUAGCUAAUACCGCAUAACAAUGGAUGACACAUGUCAUUUAUUUGAAAGGGGCAAUUGCUCCACUACAAGAUGGACCUGCGUUGUAUUAGCUAGUAGGUGAGGUAACGGCUCACCUAGGCGACGAUACAUAGCCGACCUGAGAGGGUGAUCGGCCACACUGGGACUGAGACACGGCCCAGACUCCUACGGGAGGCAGCAGUAGGGAAUCUUCGGCAAUGGGGGCAACCCUGACCGAGCAACGCCGCGUGAGUGAAGAAGGUUUUCGGAUCGUAAAGCUCUGUUGUAAGUCAAGAACGAGUGUGAGAGUGGAAAAUUCACACUGUGACGGUAGCUUACCAGAAAGGGACGGCUAACUACGUGCCAGCAGCCGCGGUAAUACGUAGGUCCCGAGCGUUGUCCGGAUUUAUUGGGCGUAAAGCGAGCGCAGGCGGUUUGAUAAGUCUGAAGUUAAAGGCUGUGGCUCAACUAUAGUUCGCUUUGGAAACUGUCAAACUUGAGUGCAGAAGGGGAGAGUGGAAUUCCAUGUGUAGCGGUGAAAUGCGUAGAUAUAUGGAGGAACACCGGUGGCGAAAGCGGCUCUCUGGUCUGUAACUGACGCUGAGGCUCGAAAGCGUGGGGAGCGAACAGGAUUAGAUACCCUGGUAGUCCACGCCGUAAACGAUGAGUGCUAGGUGUUGGAUCCUUUCCGGGAUUCAGUGCCGCAGCUAACGCAUUAAGCACUCCGCCUGGGGAGUACGACCGCAAGGUUGAAACUCAAAGGAAUUGACGGGGGCCCGCACAAGCGGUGGAGCAUGUGGUUUAAUUCGAAGCAACGCGGAGAACCUUACCAGGUCUUGACAUCCCGAUGCUAUUUCUAGAGAUAGAAAGUUACUUCGGUACAUCGGUGACAGGUGGUGCAUGGUUGUCGUCAGCUCGUGUCGUGAGAUGUUGGGUUAAGUCCCGCAACGAGCGCAACCCCUAUUGUUAGUUGCCAUCAUUCAGUUGGGCACUCUAGCGAGACUGCCGGUAAUAAACCGGAGGAAGGUGGGGAUGACGUCAAAUCAUCAUGCCCCUUAUGACCUGGGCUACACACGUGCUACAAUGGUUGGUACAACGAGUUGCGAGUCGGUGACGGCAAGCUAAUCUCUUAAAGCCAAUCUCAGUUCGGAUUGUAGGCUGCAACUCGCCUACAUGAAGUCGGAAUCGCUAGUAAUCGCGGAUCAGCACGCCGCGGUGAAUACGUUCCCGGGCCU